UACGUAGGGGGCUAGCGUUAUCCGGAAUUACUGGGCGUAAAGGGAACGCAGGCGGUCUUUUAAGUCUGAUGUGAAAGCCUUCGGCUUAACCGGAGUAGUGCAUUGGAAACUGGGAGACUUGAGUGCAGAAGAGGAGAGUGGAACUCCAUGUGUAGCGGUGAAAUGCGUAGAUAUAUGGAAGAACACCAGUGGCGAAAGCGGCUCUCUGGUCUGUAGCUGACGCUGAGGUUCGAAAGCGUGGGUAGCAAACAGG
rnacentral:rRNA from 1 species